UCAAAGGAUAGUUUAAUAAAAAUAUUAGUUUUGGGAAUUAAUGAUAAGAUAAUCUUUCCUUUG
rnacentral:tRNA from 1 species